rnacentral:rRNA from 1 species
AACGAACGCUGGCGGCAUGCCUAACACAUGCAAGUCGAACGAGACCUUCGGGUCUAGUGGCGCACGGGUGCGUAACGCGUGGAAAUCUGCCCUUGGGUUCGGAAUAACAGUUAGAAAUGACUGCUAAUACCGGAUGAUGACUUCGGUCCAAAGAUUUAUCGCCCAGGGAUGAGCCCGCGUAGGAUUAGCUUGUUGGUGAGGUAAAAGCUCACCAAGGCGACGAUCCUUAGCUGGUCUGAGAGGAUGAUCAGCCACACUGGGACUGAGACACGGCCCAGACUCCUACGGGAGGCAGCAGUGGGGAAUAUUGGACAAUGGGCGAAAGCCUGAUCCAGCAAUGCCGCGUGAGUGAUGAAGGCCUUAGGGUUGUAAAGCUCUUUUACCCGGGAUGAUAGUGACAGUACCGGGAGAAUAAGCCCCGGCUAACUCCGUGCCAGCAGCCACAGUAAAAC